rnacentral:rRNA from 1 species
CACGUAGGAGGCAAACGUUAUCCGGAUUUACUGGGCGUAAAGCGCGUGUAGGUGGUUCUGUAAGUAGGGCGUGAAAGCUCCCGGCUCAACUGGGAGAGGCCGUUCUAAACUGCAGAGCUAGAGGAUGGUAGAGGGAGGUGGAAUUCCAGGUGUAGCGGUGGAAUGCGCAGAUAUCUGGAGGAACACCAGUGGCGAAGGCGGCCUCCUGGACCAUUCCUGACACUCAGACGCGAAAGCUAGGGUAGCAAACGGGAUUAGAUACCCGUGUAGUCCCUGA